CCUACGGGAGGCAGCAGUGGGGAAUAUUGCACAAUGGGGGAAACCCUGAUGCAGCGACGCCGCGUGAGUGAAGAAGUACUUCGGUAUGUAAAGCUCUAUCAGCAGGGAAGAAGAAAGACGGUACCUGACUAAGAAGCACCGGCUAACUACGUGCCAGCAGCCGCGGUAAUACGGAGGGGGUGCGCGUUAUCCGGAUUUACUGGGUGUAAAGGGAGCGUAGGCGGAGAAGCAAGUCUGAAGUGAAAGCCCGUGGCUUAACCGCGGGACUGCUUUGGAAACUGUUUGACUAGAGUGCGGGAGAGGUAAGUGGAAUUCCUGGUGUAGCGGUGAAAUGCGUAGAUAUCAGGAGGAACACCGGUGGCGAAGGCAGCUUACUGGACCGCAACUGACGUUGAGGCUCGAAAGCGUGGGGAGCAAACAGGAUUAGAUACCCGAGUAGUC
rnacentral:rRNA from 1 species